CAUCUAAACAUUUAUUUUUAACAGAACAGGAAUAUUAACAAUUAAAAAAAUGGGUUUCUCAUGAUUAGUUUGCCCUAGGCGCUUAACGGUUCAGUCAUGGGCAGUGCAACUAUUGAAAAAAAAUCUAGCAAUGUCCAGUUUUGCAUGAUUGUCCUGCCCAAGCCGCUCUACUGUUUAGUCACUGCUACAGCAGCUAGAGUAAAAUGCGGUCUAUAUGUCCGGGGAUGGAGCAGAAAUCCUCCUGUGACAUCUCGAGGAAGCUCUCCUGGAGGUAAUUGGAAAUCCGUUGCAUUAGGUUCCUGGGGAGAGCGGCCUUAUUGGGUCCUCCGUAGUACGACAUGUUGCCACGCCACGAGACAAGCAAGUACUCGGGAAUCAUUGCUCUGCACAGCAGGGCGGCAUACGGCCCUGGUCUUUGGAGGCUUUCCCGGAGCAUUCUCUCUUUCUCGCUGUCAGAGAUCCUCAUGAGGGUGAUGUCGCUCAUGGUGACCUGCUUUGAAUGAGCCCCAUCUGCGACUGUCUCACAACCUAGCCUGGCAUCACACUUCCAGAGGCUAGCGAGGAUUAGGCAUAGGAAGAAGAGGACACGGGAGGACAUGUUCUCAGAGCUUAUGGCCUGCUCCCGAGCCCAGGCAGCACAGCAGACCCAGUGGCGGGAGAACUUGUCCCAAAUGCAGCAAGCAAACAUGGAUCGGGAGGAGAGGUGGCGGCAGGAAGACCAGCAGGCGACUCAAACCCUGCUUGGACUACUGAGGGAGCAAGCGGACACGCUCCGGCGCCUUGUGGAUGUUCUGCAGGAACGGAGGCAGGAGGACAGAGCCCCACUGCAGUCCAUCUCUAACCGCCCUCCCCCGCCACCAAGUCCCAUACCCCCCUCACCCAAAGUGCACAGAAGGAGAGGCGGCAGAGUCCACGCAAACUCUCACUCCACCCCUGCAGAGAGCUCUAGUAGCAGAAGGCUCUCAUUCCCCAAAAUUUGACAAGUUCUUUCCUUCCCGCCUGACACAAGCCCCCGUCCAAGUUUCACCUCCCAGUUCCAUGUGUAGUUGAUAAUAAAAAAUACGUUUCUGUUAA